rnacentral:rRNA from 1 species
UACGUAGGGCGCAAGCGUUGUCCGGAAUUAUUGGGCGUAAAGAGCUCGUAGGCGGUUUGUCGCGUCUGCUGUGAAAACCUAAGGCUCAACCUUGGGCUUGCAGUGGGUACGGGCAGACUAGAGUGCGGUAGGGUGACUGGAAUUCCUGGUGUAGCGGUGGAAUGCGCAGAUAUCAGGAGGAACACCGAUGGCGAAGGCAGGUCACUGGGCCGCAACUGAACGCU